rnacentral:sRNA from 1 species
GCAGAAUUUCUCAACAUAAGCUCUAUUGACUUUGUGGCCAGAUUGGCCUUUGCUUUGUGGGUUGUCAGCUAUUGUAAACUGCUCAGCACGACGUCAUGCAUUUAUGGCGUGCAGAUUUCUACAAAGCAGCCUGUGUUGGGAAGGGUCUCUAUUUCACAGUGCUGCUGGUCCUGCUCCAUAGAGGCACUCAGUUUGAUGCUUGCCUAAGGAGCAAAGCUAUCAUUUGAAAAGGAACUCAGGUCAAGUGGAGAAGAAGCACGUGGGUACGCUGGCUCUUGGUCUUCAAAUCUUCUGAAAUCAGCACCAUAUUCGUGGGGGUUUUGCAGUGACAGACAUCGACUUAUUGUUUGGGAAGGAUGGUGGAAAGACAGAAGAACCAUAGAGUAUUCAGAGCUCAGAAGCAAUGUGACCAGUCACCUCAUGCUUCCUGCCACCCUGACUUCACCAUCUGGAUUAACUAUGAUGGAGCCAAAAUUAACCCUUCUUCCUUUAAGUUGCUUUGGUCAGAUGUUUUGUCAUAACAAGAAGGUGCCCACAACCUUUACCAAUAGGAUCCCACAGACACUUGCACAAACGAGUCUGGUGUUGUCCUCAGACAGCUUUGGUUUGUACUCUUUCUAUGAUUGUACGCCAUUGAUAGUAAUGUCAUGACAUGUGGUAAACAUGUAUCACAUGGAACUCUUACUAAUAUCAUCAUAAGUAUAGCCUUUGUCAAAAGAUAAUUCUGAUUCAGUUGUCCCUUGAAAACAUCAAGGUUCAUUGUUAUGCAUUUGACUGCCCAUUUUCUGGAUUUUUGUACAAAGACAAGAACUACAAAUUCACCAUUUAAGUUCAAUCUCUCUUAUGAAGUAUAUCCAUUUCAGUCAUGUCUCUCUCUUGAAACUUAUCUCUUGUAUUACUAAGACAGUUACCAUUAUAUCGAAUUUCUAACUUCUUUUCCUACCUCACAUGGCUGUGGUUGUUUCCUUGAAUCCUUGUAACACUUCAGUACCAUGAAGAGAGAUGUUGCAUUAACUCUGCAGCAUCUCAAAUAUUCUACACGGAAUUAAGCAAAAUACCCUAAUUUUUUUAAAAAUAAAAUGUAUAUUUUACUUUAGUUGUUGCUGUUUCAAAGAUGUUGGCAAACCCAUUCCUCUGUUCAAAUGGAUC